rnacentral:lncRNA from 1 species
AAAAACAGAAACGUGGAUGGGAAAAUUCUGGGUCCCUCUCUCAUCUCAAAAACUGGUCCGCUCCCUCUCUCAUCUCAAAAAUUGGUAAUUGAUUUAUUAAAAGAGAAUUGGCCCCUUCUCACUCUAAGCCUCAAGAAUCUCUGCCUUUUCCCUCUCUCUUUGCUAGCAAUCGACGGCUUCGCGAGAAUUAGUCAGUUCUCCCUUCCUCAUCGAUUCUAAACCAAGGUAACAAAAUCAGAACUUUGGGUGAUGAUUUUCUUGUUUUAUGAGUUGAAAUUAGGCUUAGAUUCGUUCCAAGUUGUGAUUUGGUGUUCAAUAAUAGUUUUUUUAGGACUUUUACUUAAAAAGGGCCAAACCCUAUAAUCUGCACAAUUAUUGUGUUCUCAAGAUUAGGGCUUUUUAACUCUUAAUUAUAAUUUCAGUGACAAUAUUUUAUUUUAUGAACAAGGUGUUAAACAAAAAUCAGUAAGUAUAUGAAUUGACUCACUUUCGUAGCAUUGCGAAUUUUUUCCAAAACAGGGGCACGCAUAUGGAGCAAUAGUUGUGGUAAUAGUUUUUUCACUUCAAAGAUAAUUUUGAUCAACUUUAAUUUAUCUAAUAUUAAUUUUGUCAUUUAUAAGAAGUAUCCAUGGUUGUAUUAUAAGGAUUCUUCUAGCUCUAUUGGUAUUAUGAACUUGCUAAUUGGUUCUAUUCCAUUUUAAUGUCUUUUUCUGACUAUAUGCAAUAUAUGGCAUUGACAUUUGCCCAACUUGUGAUUUUUAGGUAACCAGUCACGAGACAAGCCUUUUAGCUAGAUGUCGAAGAGUUUAUUAAUCAUGUUACAAGACAAGCCUGGAUUCUUGGUUAUUGAUUUUAAUCAUGUUAUUGUAGAUGGAACAAAUAUUGUUAUUUGGGUUCAUUAAAUUUUGGUGUUAGUUUAUUGUAACCUUGUCCAAGAAGGACAUGUAAUCAUGA